ACAGCAGUAGCCGCGGUAAUACGGAGGGGGCUAGCGUUAUUCGGAAUUACUGGGCGUAAAGCGCACGUAGGCGGCUUCGCAAGUCAGAGGUGAAAGCCUGGGGCUCAACUCCAGAAUUGCUUUUGAGACUGCGUCGCUCGAAUCCGGGAGAGGUGAGUGGAAUUCCGAGUGUAGAGGUGAAAUUCGUAGAUAUUCGGAAGAACACCAGUGGCGAAGGCGGCUCACUGGACCGGCAUUGACGCUGAGGUGCGAAAGCGUGGGGAGCAAACAGGAUUAGAUACCCGGGUAGUCCCUGUCUCUUAUAC
rnacentral:rRNA from 1 species